GACGAACGCUGGCGGCGUGCCUAAUACAUGCAAGUAGAACGCUGAAGAGAGGAGCUUGCUCUUCUUGGAUGAGUUGCGAACGGGUGAGUAACGCGUAGGUAACCUGCCUUGUAGCGGGGGAUAACUAUUGGAAACGAUAGCUAAUACCGCAUAACAAUGGAUGACACAUGUCAUUUAUUUGAAAGGGGCAAUUGCUCCACUACAAGAUGGACCUGCGUUGUAUUAGCUAGUAGGUGAGGUAACGGCUCACCUAGGCGACGAUACAUAGCCGACCUGAGAGGGUGAUCGGCCACACUGGGACUGAGACACGGCCCAGACUCCUACGGGAGGCAGCAGUAGGGAAUCUUCGGCAAUGGGGGCAAACCUGACCGAGCAACGCCGCGUGAGUGAAGAAGGUUUUCGGAUCGUAAAGCUCUGUUGUAAGUCAAGAACGAGUGUGAGAGUGGAAAGUUCACACUGUGACGGUAGCUUACCAGAAAGGGACGGCUAACUACGUG
rnacentral:rRNA from 1 species